UUCCCUAUCUUCCAAAGAAACUGACGAUGAAAAUGCUGCAAACGAUAACCCACUAUCUUUGUUAGAAGAACCUGUAAACAUAUUUGAAUUUUCUCAGGAUGAAGCAAUGUCACUUGACUCUCUAAGUCAACUGAAAAUUGUUUCCCCAGUGAGAUCUACGAAUUCCCUCGUGCCUUCUUUAAAGGCAAAUAAGCACUCAAAUAUCAACCGUGAUAUUUCUACCCAAUUUUCAUUUCCUGCUAAGAGUUUACUCAAACAUAAUAUGUCAAAAUCAAAGUCCCGACUUCCUGUCCCGUUAAGAGUUGAGAAAACGAAGGAUUCGCCUAGCGAAACACUUCGUACCAAACAGAAACCAACUUGCCAAUCAGAAAAUUCGGAAAGUAUUAAUGGAGGUUUACCUUUAGAGAAAUCUAGAUCUAAAAAUAAACAAUUUUCUGCUGUUGCCGCUGCUAGAAAGCGCAAAUAACCUGAAAAUGGGGAAAAUACCAAUAAAUCUCCUACUACCGGCUGUGCCAUACUCUCUCAUUGUACACCAGAAAAAGAAACGGAAACUUUUCAAAGUGCACCUCUCAAGAAAAACCAACUGCCCAAAGAUUCUUCCGGAAAGAAAAAAAGUAAAGAUACUAGUUUUGCCAUACUCUCUCAUUGUAGACCAGAAAAAGAAACGGAAACUUUUCAAAGUGCACCUCUAAAGCAAAACCAACUGCCCAAAGAUUCUUCCGGAAAGAAAAAAAGUAAAGAUACCAGUUGUGCAAAACUGCAUUGUACAUCAGAAAAAGUAAUGAAAACAUCCGUAAAUGCGCCUUUAAAGAAAAACCAACUGCCCACAGAUGAUACCUGCUCUCCUGCCACAACUGUGACUACUUCAACCGAAUCUGUGGGACAGAAAAAGUGGAUAUUUAUUGAUGAUUCACCUGUUAAAGUGAAACAGAUUAAACCAAAGAAAAAGUUAUUUUUAUGUGAAAACUAAAAUAAAAUGCACGAAAGGCGUCGAAUACUUCCAUUCAAUGGAAACAACCAGGAGCAAUUAAGUGGUACUUUCCAGAGCCAUUACAAAAGAAUAUGGUGUCCAGCAAACGAAACAUGGAUCACGGAAUAGUAGGAAAAACUACGCUACUUUUAAAAUCAGAUUUA
rnacentral:lncRNA from 1 species